GACGAACGCUGGCGGCGUGCUUAACACAUGCAAGUCGAACGGAAAGGCCCUGCUCUUGCGGGGUGCUCGAGUGGCGAACGGGUGAGUAACACGUGAGUAACCUGCCCUUGACUUUGGGAUAACUCCAGGAAACUGGGGCUCAUACCGGAUAGGAGCUCUUGCUGCACGGUGGGGGUUGGAAAGUUUCGGCGUUUGGGGCUGGACUCGCGGCUUAUGCGCUUGUUGGUGGGGUAGUGGCUUACCCAGGCUUUGACGGGUAGCCGGCCUGAGAGGGUGACCGGCCACAUUGGGACUGAGAUACGGCCCAAACUCCUACGGGAGGCAGCAGGGGGGAAUAUUGCACAAGGGGCGGAAGCCGGAUGCAGCAACGCCGCGGGCGGGAUGACGGCCUUCGGGUUGUAAACCGCUUGCGCCUGUGACGAAGCGUGAGUGACGGUAAUGGGUAAAGAAGCACCGGCUAACUACGUG
rnacentral:rRNA from 1 species